rfam:Salmo salar isolate Sally breed double haploid chromosome ssa21, whole genome shotgun sequence.
UACACUCACUACUGUAAACUGCUCUGGAUAAGAGCAUCUGCUAAAUGACUAAAA